AAGGAAAGGACACUUCUUUCAAAUGUGCUGUUCUUCGGAAAGUACAUCGGAACCAGUGAACGAGCUUGAAAUGCAAGAGAAUACGACUAUAAGGGCAGCGACCAUUCUACACAUCGACGCUGUCGGCGCCCUGACGCUUAUGCGCGCUCCCGUAAAAGUGAACAACGUGACGUUGCAGUUGUUGGAUGACACCGGAGUGGUUCUGUCGCUCAUGAGUCUUCAGGACUACAACACGCACUUUUCACAUAUCCGCCUGCCUCAAUUCCAUUUAAUCAUCCAGAACUACUUGGAGAAAGUAGUGUACAAUUUGGGAUUUUUUUCCACGGCCAUCAAGUACCAAGAUAUGUCAGCUACCGUUGACUGUCACGUGACAAAUCGGUUCAUCACUUCUGGGACUCGGCGCUAUUAAGGCAUUGACGGUAGUGAUCGAUUGAGCGACUUUUUCUUGUCUCCAAGCCUCAUCUUCACCACCGGACUUCGACGGUGGUUCCCGCUGGACAGAAUAUCAUCCAGCUUCCAUGAACUUGUACGGUGCAGCGGACUUUGACAGUGCACGGCAGGCCAACGCCUGUUCGACUUCACCACCAGCAAGAGUGAACCAGUGCAGAGUGCUGGGACAGUCUCCCAGUUAAAGCGUCGCGACGGCAAGCUCCACGGAGAACCCAGGUGGACAGUACAUCACCGGGGACGGUCUUGACACGAUUUUGGCAAAGUGCACAAGACAAAUCAAGGAAGCCAUGCGCCAAGAGAGACGUCUGGCCAAGCAUCUUGCGACCGGCAAGCCGGUGCCUGAUACCUUAAGGGCAAGGACACUAGACACAAGACAGAAGGUGGUGCAAAGCUGCCAAGAUGUCAUAUCAUAUGCAGGUGCGCAAGUGGUGCAAGUUGCGGCGGCAGCCUCGCCGGAGGAAGACGACGAGGAACAGAUCAGUGAGUGCUUUCAAUAUUUAGUGCUGGAACCGCAGUCGCAACUGCAUCGUAUGCCCUGCUAACCUGCAGGUUCGAUUUGCUGCACAACUUUAUUGUUGUUUCGUCAAAUUAGGAAAUAUAAACGUUGUUGACUUCAUCGUA